UGCGUAGGUGGUUACCUAAGCGCAAGGUUUAAUACAGCGGCUCAACUGCUGUCUGCCUUGCGAACUGGGUUACUUGAGUGCAGGAGGGGAAAGCGGAAUUCCUAGUGUAGCGGUGAAAUGCGUAGAUAUUAGGAGGAACACCGGCGGCGAAGGCGGCUUUCUGGACUGUAACUGACACUGAGGCACGAAAGCGUGGGGAGGCAAAACA
rnacentral:rRNA from 1 species